rnacentral:lncRNA from 1 species
AUGUCACACAGAUGAUAAAGAGCAAGGAUAGACCUCUUCAUUUCAUGUUUGAGGCAAUUCUCUAAGACAGCUGAUUUCUCCAGAGCUGGUAGGUAAGUAUCUACCUCCCAGAAUGCAAUGUGUCCAGAGAUUAUAAUAAGUGAAAUAUUGGAUUGCCAAUAUUCUUUUCUCUUGUCCUUCUACGCUUGGAUUCUUUUUUUAAGUUUAUUCCCCACUGUAGGAGACAGACUUGCUCACGUGAUAGAUCCGGCCAUGAUAUUGUCCCUAAGAGAACGAGAUGCUCUUUGCAGAAGACAUAGAAGAUUCCUGAAACUGGGAAAGGGGCCUAGAAACCUGGAGAAGAGUGAAGAAGGCAUUUUCCCUCCCCUGCUUAGGCAUCUGCCACCAUAUUCAAUACUUUCUCCAGGGUUCUCAGGUAUCAUCUUUCAGUUUAGUUGGAUGGAACAUUAGUCUGGAAAUUUUACUUUCAAUUGAACUCGCUCGUUGAACUGCCUCCAUCUUCAAAGGAUCCCAUUAGGGUUUCCCAUUGGCUUGGAAUUUGUCAAUUAGUUUUGCUGGCUGGACAGAAAGCCACACGGAUCCUCUU